CGGACGGGUGAGUAACGCGUGGAUAACCUGCCGUAUACCGGGGGAGUAACACUUAGAAAUAGGUGCUAAUACCGCAUAAGCGCACGGCUCCGCAUGGGGCAGUGUGAAAAAUUCCGGUGGUAUACGAUGGAUCCGCGUCUGAUUAGCUAGUUGGCGGGGUAACGGCCCACCAAGGCAGCGAUCAGUAGCCGGCCUGAGAGGGUGGACGGCCACAUUGGGACUGAGACACGGCCCAAACUCCUACGGAAGGCAGCAG
rnacentral:rRNA from 1 species